rnacentral:snRNA from 1 species
UACAAAUAAACUAAAACUGGAACAAUACAGAGAAGAUUAGCACGGCCCAUGUGCAAGGAUGAGAUGCAAAUUCUUGAAACAGUACUUAUUUUC